UGGCGGCAUGCCUUACACAUGCAAGUCGAACGGCAGCAUGGAAGAGCUUGCUCUUCUGAUGGCGAGUGGCGAACGGGUGAGUAAAGCAGUCGGAACGUACCGUGUAAUGGGGAUAACGUAGCGAAAGUUACGCUAAUACCGCAUACGACCUGAGGGUGAAAGCAGGGGAUCGCAAGACCUUGCGUUAUACGAGCGGCCGAUGUCAGAUUAGCUAGUUGGUAGGGUAAAGGCCUACCAAGGCGACGAUCUGUAGCGGGUCUGAGAGGAUGAUCAGUCACACUGGAACUGAGACACGGUCCAGACUCCUACGGGAGGCAGCAGUGGGGAAUAUUGGACAAUGGGCGAAAGCCUGAUCCAGCCAUGCCGCGUGUGUGAAGAAGGUCUUCGGAUUGUAAAGCACUUUAAGUUGGGAGGAAGGGCAGUAAGCUAAUACCUUGCUGUUUUGACGUUACCGACAGAAUAAGCACCGGCUAACUCUGUG
rnacentral:rRNA from 1 species